AAACAGGUGCCCCUUAAGGGGCUUAAUAGGGAAGCCCGGUGAAAUGCCGGCACGGUCCCGCCACUGUAAUGCAGAGCUAAUCCACGAAAUGUCACUGGGUGCGACUUGGGAAGACUGGAAGAGCGAGGAAGCAGAGUCAGGAGAACUGCCUGUUUG
rnacentral:ncRNA from 1 species